rnacentral:rRNA from 1 species
AGUGAACGCUGGCGGUAGGCCUAACACAUGCAAGUCGAACGGCAGCACAGUAAGAGCUUGCUCUUACGGGUGGCGAGUGGCGGACGGGUGAGGAAUACAUCGGAAUCUACUUUUUCGUGGGGGAUAACGUAGGGAAACUUACGCUAAUACCGCAUACGACCUACGGGUGAAAGCAGGGGAUCUUCGGACCUUGCGCGAUUGAAUGAGCCGAUGUCGGAUUAGCUAGUUGGGCGGGUAAAGGCCCACCAAGGCGACGAUCCGUAGCUGGUCUGAGAGGAUGAUCAGCCACACUGGAACUGAGACACGGUCCAGACUCCUACGGGAGGCAGCAGUGGGGAAUAUUGGACAAUGGGCGCAAGCCUGAUCCAGCCAUACCGCGUGGGUGAAGAAGGCCUUCGGGUUGUAAAGCCCUUUUGUUGGGAAAGAAAAGCAGCAGGUUAAUACCCCGCUGUUCUGACGGUACCCAAAGAAUAAGCACCGGCUAACUUCGUG